AUUGAACGCUGGCGGCAGGCCUAACACAUGCAAGUCGAGCGGAGCGGCGGACGGGUGAGUAAUGCCUAGGAAUCUGCCUGGUAGUGGGGGAUAACGUCCGGAAACGGGCGCUAAUACCGCAUACUAUCAGCUGAGCCUAGGUCGGAUUAGCUAGUUGGUGGGGUAAAGGCCUACCAAGGCGACGAUCCGUAACUGGUCUGAGAGGAUGAUCAGUCACACUGGAACUGAGACACGGUCCAGACUCCUACGGGAGGCAGCAGUGGGGAAUCUUCGGCAAUGGGGGGAACCCUGACCGAGCAACGCCGCGUGAGUGAAGAAGGUUUUCGGAUCGUAAAGCUCUGUUAAUCGGGACGCGGUACCGGAAUAGAAAGCCACGGCUAACUACGUGCCAGCCGCCGCGGUAAUAC
rnacentral:rRNA from 1 species